rnacentral:rRNA from 1 species
AUUGAACGCUGGCGGAAUGCUUUACACAUGCAAGUCGAACGGCAGCACGGACUUCGGUCUGGUGGCGAGUGGCGAACGGGUGAGUAACAUAUCGGACCGUAUCCAAUAAUGGGGGAUAACGAGUCGAAAGAUUCGCUAAUACCGCAUACGCCCUACGGGGGAAAGCUGGGGACCUUCGGGCCUGGCGUUAAUGGAGCGGCCGAUAUCUGAUUAGCUAGUUGGUGAGGUAAAGGCUCACCAAGGCGACGAUCAGUAGCUGGUCUGAGAGGACGACCAGCCACACUGGAACUGAGACACGGUCCAGACUCCUACGGGAGGCAGCAGUGGGGAAUGUUGGACAAUGGGCGCAAGCCUGAUCCAGCCAUUCCGCGUGAGUGAAGAAGGCCUUCGGGUUGUAAAGCUCUUUCGCAAGGGAAGAAAACUUAGCCACUAACAUUGGUUGAGGUUGACGGUACCUGAAGAAUAAGCACCGGCUAACUACGUGCCAGCCGCCGCGGUAA